CCACCAUUUCUUCAUUGGAUAAUUCUAUGGGUACAGGAAAGUUGGAUAGAAUACUUACAGGAUUUCAAAUUUGCACCUGCACACAUAUCCCACAUAUAAUACGUCUUUUUAUUUCCUUCGAUUUUCAGCCCAAAAUCGGACCGGCCAUUUGCCACCAUAAAAUGAACCCGUAUCGUUUUCCCCCCAAAUCAUUUCCUUUUAUCCCUCAAAACCAGAAAGCAAGACGCUCUUCCCGUCGCUCUUCCCGCAUCUCUUCAUCUUUGAAUUUCUAGGCCCACGACAGGGAAAUCAAGCACGGGCUCAUCUAUUCUAGAACAUCCUUCUACCCAAGAACGACGAAGGCAACUGAAACCGAAGGUGGAAAUAGAUGAUGGACAAAGGUAUUUGCUUCUUUGUCUUAAAUGUGUUAGCUCGUACAUUGGUUGACCAAUUAUUAGAUUAUGAGCAAUAGCAUUUUCCUUCUUGGAUAGAGCCUUCAUUUCUUGCUUGUGUGCCCUUUUUUUAACACUAGAGGAGUAUAUGAUCUGCAAGGGUAGUGAAAGGGGAUCUUAGAAUUAGUUUGGUAUUAGCUAGCAUGUGGCUCCCUGAACAUUGGAUUAAUUAUGGACUCAGUAAUUAUGUAUUCUGUUUACGAGCAACAAAUGUUACUGCAGUAUCAAAAUCUGGAAGAAACCAAGAUUACAGUACAUCCGGACCCAAGUGGUGAAAAGUUAUUAAUGAUAUUUUGUCCGUCUAUACCUGUUAUACACUAGCACAUAGAUUUUCUUCUUGAUAGUCUGACUUUCUUCUUGGAUCUAGAUUACUUAAAUACUGUCCUCAUUCGUAUGUUCAAUUAUCAUUUGGAUGAGUGCGUUGACUUUCUUCUUGGAUCCAGAUUACUUAAAUACUGUCCUCAUUCGUAUGUUCAAUUAUCAUUUGGAUGAGUGCAUUUUUGGCAUUGUGGAUAUGCUUUACUCAGAGUUGAAAUGAUUAUGUGAACAUAACAGUGAUUGGAGGAGUUAUUUUAUGAAUUUGGCUGAGCUAUUUUGGCUGAGCUAUUAUUUAUUUAUUUAUUUUUUGGCUGAGCUAUGUUCAAUUAUCAUUUGGUUGAGCUAUUUUUUUUUUUUUGGUGCUGAGCUAUGUUCAAUUAUCAUUUGGCUAAGCUAUUUUUUUUUGGUGCCAUUAAAUUUUUCUCGUCGCAAGCAUGUUAAUACUGUUAUUGGUAAAGUUGUGAUUUUAGUUACAUGUGAUUUACAACUUCUAAUAAAAUCACAGCAUUUAUUGCAGGAAAAGAGAUUAUAGAAGAUGAGAAUCCUGAUGUCGUUGUAGAAAGUGAUGAUGAGAACAUGGCCGCAAAUUUGAACACAUUGGACAAAAUUAGAAGGAGAUGUUGUGACUAAGCUUGAGGUCGGUAUGAUGUUUAAUAGUGAAGAAGAAAUCUUGGACUUCUAUAAACGAUAUACUUACGGGAUAGGUUUUCUAGUGAGGAAACAAAAUUCGAAAAAGGGGGAAGAUGGAGUUAUGAGAUACGUGACGUUUACAUGUAGUCAUGAUGGUCAAAGAAUUUACGCAACAGGAGGUUCUCUAAAGCCGCAACCAACAAAUCAGACAAGAAUAUCUACAUCAUUAGAUAGUCUUGGAAUUUGGAGAAUUAACAAAGUGUUCCUCUAGCAUAAUCAUAGGACAAGUCCUUCUAAGUCAAGAUUGUAUCGAUGCAAUCAAAAGUUGACUGCAGGUGCGAAGUGAAAUCUCAAGUUAAAUGAUAUGGCAGGAAUGCCCUUGCACAAGAGUUUUAACUCAGCAGUUGUGGCAGCAGGUGGAUAUGAGAACAUAACGUUCAUGGAAAAGGACUGUUGGAACUACAUAGAUCAGGUGAGAUGACUACGACUCGGUGAAGGAAAUGUGAUCGCAAUCAAGGGUACUUUUCAAAGAUGCAAGCACGUUGCUCAGGAUUUUAUUUCAGAAUGGACUUACACGAUGAGUCACGACUAAGGAAUGUACUUUGGGCAGAUAAUAGAUAUAAUCAGUCUCACAAAGAGUUCAGUGACGUGGUCACUUUUGAUACUAUGUAUCUUACUAAUAAAUAUGAUAUGCCCUUCAUCCCUUUUGUUGGCGUAAAUCAUCACGGACAAUUGACUCUGCUUGGUUGUGGACUAUUAUCGAAUGAAGACACAUGUAGUUUUAUGUGGUUGUUCAAGAUAUGGCUAGAGUGCAUGCAUGGUGAAGCCCCUAGUGGAAUAAUUACUGAUCAAGAUCGAGCAAUCAAAAUGCAAUUGAGUUUGUAUUUCCAAAUACGAGGCAUAGAUGGUGUUUGUGGCAUAUUUUGAAGAAGCUGCCAGAAAAGUUUGGGUUUCAUGCACAUAAGGGCGCCAUAUUUUCUGCUAUACACGAGCUAGUAUAUGAAUCACAGUUCGUUGAAGAAUUUGAGCACGAUUGGAGGAUGAUGCUCGAUAUUUAUGACUUGAAAUAGAAUGAUUGGUUGUCGGGCCUGUACGGUAACAGAAGUCGUUGGGCUCCUUGUUUUUUGAAGACCACUUUUUGGGUAAGGAUGUCCACAACACAACGAAGUGAGAGUAUGAAUGCAUUUUUUUUUAUAGAUAUGUGCAUUCGAAAACUUCGUUGAAGCAGUUCGUUGAACAGUAUGAAAGAGCACUGAGGAAUAAGGUUUAGAAAGAGUUUCAGGCUGAUUUCAAGUCAUUUUCUCAAAUGGUACAUGUGCAACUACUUUUGAAAUAGAGAAACAGUUUCAAUCAGUUUACACAAUUUCGAAGUUCAAGGAAGUACAAAAUGAGUUCACUGGGAAGGUAUACUAUGAUCUAAUUUUUGAGGAGGAAUGUUUUUGGAUGAAUUAUGAGGUUCAUGAGCAUCAGAAGAACAUAACAUUUUGCAUCUCAUUUCGGAGAGAUCCUUGCGAAUUCACUUGUAGUUGCCACUUAUUCGAGUUUUGAGGAAUCAUUUGUCGGCAUGCGAUCACAGUUUUGGUCCGCAAUCGCAUCACUGCAAUGCCUGAUAGGUAUAUACUACGAAGAUGAUGGAGAGAUGUCAAAAGAGCAAACACAAUGGUCAAAGUCAAUUAUGCUGGGUUAGGAAGUACUCCGGGACAGGUACGAUAUGACAAUAUGUGCGAGGCUUUCUCAGAGGUAGCAUACCUCACUGUAGAUGAUGAAGAGUGGUCACGUGCUAUGACGAAAUGGAUAAAACUGCAACCAGAACACAUGCAGACGUCAAAGUCGAGCAGCGGAAGCAAAGCCAUUUCGCAGCAUGUUAUUCGUUCAGCCAGCCUCUGAUUGUAAUAAGUCACAAAAUUCUGCAAGCAUGAGCAUAUUGGAUCCUAAUCAUCCAAAAGAAAGGGCGCACCGAGGAAACUUCGACGGAGAGGCUGCUUGGAGUCCACCUAAUACAAAUCGAAGGUAUUGUGGUCCAUUUCCCUUCUAAUUGAUUAUGCAUUUGAGUUAAAAUUCUAAUUCGAGGUGAUAAAACAUGCAGUCCACAUCAACAAAGAGGCCUAGUAUUAUGGAGGAGAAUGUAAGUGAUUCAUAUUCAUCUCGAGUACCGCAACGUUCUAUGCCGCCGGAAAUAUCAUAUUCGGAACUCCUAUUGGUGAGUAUUGGUAGGUCUGAUUAACAUGAAUUUGACUCUUUUUUUUUUUUUUUUUUUGGAAUAUCAAGUGGGUACAACAAAUCCUUUUAUCUUUCUAGUGUUCUUAUCUUGCCAUGCUAAAAUGGGUGACAACUCAUGUAGGAUAACAAUGCCAACAAAGUCAUCACGUCGAACUUGCCAUAUUCAUCUUCUAUGUACCCCCNNNNNNNNNNNNNNNNNNNNNNNNNNNNNNNNNNNNNNNNNNNNNNNNNNNNNNNNNNNNNNACGAACGGAAAAGCAAUUACUAAUUUUUAUCUCGUCCUCUAGGUCAUGUGUUGCCAUACUACUAUCGUCAUUUGCUCGACGACGAUGGCAAAAGGUCGUGAUUAUAGCUGGUCAAGUAUAUUUGCACCAUCUGUAUUGUACUUAUCCAAUACCAUCCUUAGGUACAAAUAUUGAGCCAGCGGACUAAACCAAUAAUUCUUGAAAUCUGACCAGUUGAUUUGGCCAUCCGAGUUUGAUUCAGCCUGAGCACCGAUCGAUUGAAAUUAAUUGUCAAAAGUAGGUAAGUCGAAGGCAAAAAUAAUCAACCAUAUUACUGGUAAAAAUAAAUAUUUGUACCUUAGGAUGCAAUGUUGUUGUUUCAUUGGAUUUUCUGUAUUAAUCAGUCCUUGGAUUUUACACUCACUGUGAACGCAUUGGUGGCUGCAUUUUUUGAAAGGAAAUAGGUGAUAUUAGAUAAUGGACAUCAACAUCAUGGUGCUGUUUCAUUUCACGUGAUCCUAUUGCAGUUAGUUGAAGCAUGCAGACAUUUAUCUACUCUAGUUCAGAGGUAAAAUGCAGGGAACAUGCCGAAAAAAGGCACCCCAAAAUUCUUAGUUUUAUUCUUGAAUUUCUAGAUUGUCUAUUUAAUCAAGCAUGUAGUUGUGAAUGGCAUAUUUCUAAUUUAAUGACACUGUGGCAAUUGUAUUUUCUAUUUAAAACCAUGAGAUUAUCUUCUCUAAGAUUUACUGUGAAUGGCAAUCUAAAUGGCUAUUUACUGUUAUUUCUCAUGGCUAUUUAAUGUGGACAACAUGCUCAUUUGGUUGUUUGAUUUGCACAACAUGAACAUGAUUGGUAAGAACUUUUAUUAGAA
rnacentral:lncRNA from 1 species